rnacentral:lncRNA from 1 species
CAAAUGCACAAUCAAAUCAAUUCAUCUUUCGCCACAAGUCACGAGUUCUCGUCUCUCACGAGGCUAAAUCCUUAGGCUCCGUUUGGAUCGGGAAUUAGUAGGAACUAGUUAUACCGGGGAUAGGUACAAGUAUGGGUUUUUGUAGGAACAAGGGUAUUUUUUUGUUUGGAUGAAAGUGUGGGUAUAAGUUGGAACUAGAAAAAUUGUGUUUAGAUGGUUAUUGGGAAUAAGAGGAAUAAUGGGUAGUUGAACUUUUUAAAUACCGAAAAUACCCCUCUCUCUAAAAUUAAUCCUAGGCACAAUUUAAUUUAAAUUUGCUUGUAAAAUGUAUUAUUUUGAGAAUACACUAAUCAAUUUAAAUGUCAGAAAUUAAAUUUUUAAUUUUUUUGAUAUUUUAUUAAUUAUUACCUUUAUUUAAUCAAUCUUAAAAAAGAGAUAAACUCAAUAUUUUACAAAAAUAUUUGGAAAGAUCAUGUUGAAUAUAACUGAUAUAUUCAUCAAUAAUUAACCAAAAAUACAUGGAUUAUUAAACCACGUUGCGUAAUUAACACUUUUUACCACUACGCACAUUUUCAUAUAACAUCAAGUAAACCUACAUAUAGUAUAAAACAAAUUUAUAGUCAUUUAAAUCAACUAAUUAUAUAGCAUUAAAAUAAUCCUAAUUAUUGAUAUAAUUCAAAUAAUACGAACACAAUCUCACUCUGUAAAUGCAAGUAGUAGAAUAUUACAACAUCACAUACAACAAUUACCUCAC